GACGAACCGUGCGAACGUUGUUCGGAAUCACUGGGCUUAAAGGGCGCGUAGGCGGGUGCCCAAGUCCGGGGUGAAAGCCCCCAGCUUAACUGGGGAACUGCCUCGGAUACUGGGCGUCUGGAGGGGGGUAGGGGUACACGGAACGCUGGGUGGAGCGGUGAAAUGCGUUGAUAUCCGAGCGGAACUCCGGUGGCGAAAGC
rnacentral:rRNA from 1 species